UUAGAUUAGUGCAAAAGUAAUUGCAGUUUUGUCACUACUUUUAGUGGGAAAAAACUGCAAUUACUUUUGCACCAACCUAA
rnacentral:miRNA from 1 species